rnacentral:rRNA from 1 species
CCUAGGGUGGGCUGCAGUGGGGAAUAUUGGACAAUGGGCGAAAGCCUGAUCCAGCCAUGCCGCGUGUGUGAAGAAGGCCUUCGGGUUGUAAAGCACUUUCAGUGGGGAAGAAAGCCUUGGGGCUAAUACCCUCGAGGAAGGACAUCACCCACAGAAGAAGCACCGGCUAACUCCGUGCCAGCAGCCGCGGUAAUACGGAGGGUGCGAGCGUUAAUCGGAAUUACUGGGCGUAAAGCGCGCGUAGGCGGUCUGAUAAGCCGGUUGUGAAAGCCCCGGGCUCAACCUGGGAACGGCAUCCGGAACUGUCAGGCUAGAGUGCAGGAGAGGAAGGUAGAAUUCCCGGUGUAGCGGUGAAAUGCGUAGAGAUCGGGAGGAAUACCAGUGGCGAAGGCGGCCUUCUGGACUGACACUGACGCUGAGGUGCGAAAGCGUGGGUAGCAAACAGGAUUAGAUACCCGAGUAGUC